UACGUAGGUGACCAGCGUUGUCCGGAUUUACUGGGCGUAAAGAGCGCGCAGGCGGUCGUUCAAGUCGAGUGUGAAAGCCCCCGGCUCAACUGGGGAGGGUCACUCGAUACUGAUCGACUUGAAGGCAGGAGAGGGAAGCGGAAUUCCCCGGUGUAGGUGGUGAAAAUGCGUAGAUAUCGGGAGGAACACCAGUGGCGAAGGCGGCUUCCUGG
rnacentral:rRNA from 1 species